CCUACGGGGGGCAGCAGUGAGGAAUAUUGGUCAAUGGACGAGAGUCUGAACCAGCCAAGUAGCGUGAAGGAUGACUGACCUAUGGGUUGUAAACUUCUUUUAUAAAGGAAUAAAACGAGGCACGUGUGCCUUUUUGUAUGUACUUUAUGAAUAAGGAUCGGCUAACUCCGUGCCAGCAGCCGCGGUAAUACGGAGGAUGCGAGCGUUAUCCGGAUUUAUUGGGUUUAAAGGGAGCGUAGAUGGGUUGUUAAGUCAGCUGUGAAAGUUUGCGGCUCAACCGUAAAAUUGCAAUUGAUACUGGCAGUCUUGAGUACAGUUGAGGUAGGCGGAAUUCGUGGUGUAGCGGUGAAAUGCUUAGAUAUCACGAAGAACCCCGAUUGCGAAGGCAGCUUACUAAACUGUGACUGACAUUGAUGCUCGAAAGUGUGGGUAUCAAACAGGAUUAGAUACCCUAGUAGUC
rnacentral:rRNA from 1 species